rnacentral:lncRNA from 1 species
CAGUUGAGUGCCUUCAUGUCCUGAAAAGAUCUUAUGACAUACUAUGCCUAAUUGUCAUAUACUGAAAUAUUAAGUCUCCACCCUAAGGUGAACAUGGGUCGUAUGUUACAUGAAUGCUUGUUCAAUAUGCAUGUGUGGGGACCACUUUUAUGAAUAUUCAUAGCCUCUCCUAUAACCUGUUGAAUAUGUAUGUUCAGGCAACCCGGUCAGCAUAAAGCUCCUGCCCUAACCCCUCAUCCUUUGAAAUGCUUGUCUCUGGUCUUGGCUGGAGGCUGUAUUUCCCAGCCUACUGGAUGGCCACCUUGCGGGAUGUAACCCCUUACAAGAAAUAGUCUCCCCUCUAUUUCCCAAAUGUAUACAUGUUUUUUUUAGGUUAACAGGUGCUAAAGUAAAAUAAAAAAUGCAGAGAGAGGGGACAAUGCACAUCUAUCACAAGGCAGAAGCAGCCACGGGGAUGCUGACAUUGUGAGGGUGAAGGGCAAUCAGCUGUCCUGAGGCAGAGGAGAGCUGAGUUAACAGCCAAGCACUAGGGUGGAGAUCAGAAAACACUCCAUGGAAGGGGCAGCAGGAAGACCUGGUCACUAAGCUGCUUUGUGCCCUGAAGAACGUGUCUGCCUCCUGAGCCAGGGGGUCCCAAUUCCUGCAGGAUUCCUAGCCCCAUGGGAGUCCUGCUGGUAGACAGGGAUAGUGACUGUUCUUUGGCAGCAAGAGUAGGACGUCUCUCAGUGCACGGAUACUCUGGCCUUACCAGCGUGGGUGGCUCCCACACACACCACCCACAUGUGACUCAGCUUGGACUGGUCCCCACACCCCCAUGCACCUAAAUCUUACUCUUCAAGACUUCCCACUUGGGAGCCUUCCCAGAUCUUCCUUGCUUCUCCUGUUCUUCCUGACCAGUAAUGCAUCUUUCCUCAGACCUAUCCUGUGGCCAGUGGCUCUCUACCUUUCACUAUGACUUUUUUUUUUUAAGUCACCCAUUACAGGUUUGAAAAGUGACUUGAAGAAUGAGCCUUUUCUUUUUUUUUUUUUUUUUUUUUUUGUCCCUGUCAGUCCCAGCAGAGGCCUUGCACGUGGUGAAAGCUCGAGAUCACAGACGGUCAGGUCAUCCUGCUCUGACAUGACCACCCCACCCCUACCCACCGUGGCCAUUUUACAGAGCAGAAGACCGAGGCCCAGAGAAGUGAUGAGAUUUGACAACGUUAGUCUGCCAAGUCUCAUCUCGUCUGGGACAGGAAGAGCCGAUGUCCCUGUGCACCAGGUUGGGGACCCAC